rnacentral:rRNA from 1 species
GACGAACGCUGGCGGCGUGCUUAACACAUGCAAGUCGAACGAUGAAGCCGGAGCUUGCUCUGGUGAAUUAGUGGCGAACGGGUGAGUAACACGUGAGUAACCUGCCCUUGACUCUGGGAUAACUGCGGGAAACUGUAGCUAAUACCGGAUACGACCCUCGGAGGCAUCUCCUGGGGGUGGAAAGAAUUUCGGUCAAGGAUGGACUCGCGGCCUAUCAGCUAGUUGGUGAGGUAAAGGCUCACCAAGGCGACGACGGGUAGCCGGCCUGAGGGGGUGACCGGCCACACUGGGACUGAGACACUGCCCAGACUCCUACGGGAGGCAGCAGUGGGGAAUAUUGCACAAUGGGCGCAAGCCUGAUGCAGCAACGCCGCGUGAGGGAUGACGGCCUUCGGGUUGUAAGCCUCUUUUAGCAGGGAAGAAGCGAAAGUGACGGUACCUGCAGAAAAAGCACCGGCUAACUACGUGCCAGCCGCCGCCGUAA